rnacentral:rRNA from 1 species
UACGUAGGGCGCAAGCGUUGUCCGGAAUUAUUGGGCGUAAAGAGCUCGUAGGCGGUCUGUCGCGUCUGCCGUGAAAACCCGAGGCUUAACCUCGGGCUGGCGGUGGAUACGGGCAGACUAGAGGUAGGUAGGGGAGAAUGGAAUUCCCGGUGUAGCGGUGAAAUGCGCAGAUAUCGGGAAGAACACCCGUGGCGAAGGCGGCACUCUGGGACGGUACUGACGCUGAGACGCGAAAGCGUGGGGAGCGAACAGG